UACGAAGGGGGCUAGCGUUGCUCGGAAUUACUGGGCGUAAAGCGCACGUAGGCGGUCUUUUAAGUCGAGGGUGAAAUCCUGGAGCUCAACUCCAGAACUGCCUUCGAUACUGGAAGACUCGAGUCCGGGAGAGGUGAGUGGAACUGCGAGUGUAGAGGUGAAAUUCGUAGAUAUUCGCAAGAACACCAGUGGCGAAGGCGGCUCACUGGCCCGGUACUGACGCUGAGGUGCGAAAGCGUGGGGAGCAAACAGG
rnacentral:rRNA from 1 species